UACAGUAACACGUGGGAGGAACACCUGCAAGCUGUCUUGGAUCGCCUUCAUUCUGCCGGGCUGACUAUCAACCUAACGAAGUGCAUCUUUGCUGCUGCAGAAACAAAGUACCUAGGCCACGUCAUCUGCAAUGGGGUUGUACGCCCUCAGGUCAACAAAAUCCAGGCCAUCGAGUCCUGUCCCCUGCCACAAACGAGGAAGCAGCGCUGAUCUUUUUCGGGCUCUCGGGCUUCUGUCACCACUUCAUACCCAAUUUCUCCAACAGGGCAGCGCUUCUCCCAGACUUGACUAGAUCCCGGAGUCCCAAUCAGAUCCAGUGGACAGAGGCGGCAGCUUUCAGUGAUAUCCAGCAGUUACUAACUAAGCAACCUCUUCUGUACAGCCCAAACUUUGAUGAAGAUUUUUUCUGCAAACUGAUGCUUCUGACAGGGCUUUGGGAGCUGUGUUACUUCAGGAUGAUCGGCAUCCAGUCGCCUACAUCAGCCGGAAACUGUUCCCCAGAAAGGUUCGAUAUUUGACGGUGGAGAAGGAGGCACUGGCUAUCAAGUGGGCCCUUGAUUCCUUCCGGUACUACCUUCUUGCUCAAGAGUUCACCUUGGAGACGGAUCACAAGGCCUGUUUGUCCCCCACAAGAGAAUCCUUCUCACCAGGGCUUUGGUAGAGAAACCAUCCAGUGUUGAUGAGAAGACGUACCACCAUCUCCUCACACAGAAAUACGAGGGAAAAUACGUACACCCGUUUUUCUGCCCCAUAGAAAAAAUGGAUGUAGGAUCUUUGAAAGAGCUUAGUAGAGACCCUCUUCUGUUAGGGUUAUUUUUUAUUUUCUGAUAAGCAGAACUUUAAUCCCACCUCUCUAC